CCACAAUGAAGAACUCUACCAGAGGUGGCCACUAUGUAUGGGACUACGAGUACUAUUAUGAUUAUCUUGAUCCUGUGAUCGUAGAUGAAAGCAAGCUCAAAUACAAUAAAUUCAUAUUGCUCUUCCAUUUCAGAUUCAAUUGUUAUAAUAUUUUGGAUAGUUCUGGCUGCUUUUGUGGGAUUCCUUUUCUUCAUCUUAACUCAAAUGUCUCGCCGUGGAAAUCUGCUAAGGUCUCAUAGCUCCCAAAGCAAAA